rnacentral:lncRNA from 1 species
CAAUGGUAGGGUGAGGCAGGAUGGCUCAGGGUAAGACAGAGGUCUGUAAUCCAGAGGGGGGCAAAGGUACAGGUCGGCAGGCGGGGUCAGGGGCAGGCAGAGUGGUCAGGCAGGUGGGCUCAGAGUCAGGACAGGCAAGGGUCAAAACCAGGAGGGCAAGAAAAGAGAGACUGGAAACAGCAGAAGCUGAGACACAAAACGCUGGUUGACUUAAACAAACAAGAUGAACUGGCAACAGACAGAGAACACAGGAUGACGAGUUUCUCACACGACUGGCCCAUCUGGGAGAUGUUUUUCUCGCCUGCAUGAUCUGAAUCUAGGAUUACAGGGACUCUCCGCAACUAUAUACAAUGUGCGGGACAACAUUGAGGCUAUGAUUAAGACGUUGAAGCUCUUCUCUGUCUGCAUUAACAAGGACAACACAGGUCUUUCCAUCAUUGUAUGAUUUUUUUUUUUUUGUGUGCAAAUUAACUCAAGCUUACGGACAAUGUCAAAAGGGAUAUAGUGAAGCACCUGAGUGAGUUGGGUGCGCAAUUACGCAGGUACUUUCCUGAAACGGAUGACACAAACACCUGGGUUCAUUAUCCCUUUCGUGCCCUGCCUCCAGAAUCAGAGGCCACUGGCAUAUUUCUGGAUUGGACUUCGCUCAGUAUCCUGCCUUGGCAAAUCAAGCUGUUAAGACACUGAUGCCCUUUGCAACCACGUACCUAUGUGAGAGUGGAUUCCCAGCCCUCACUAGCAUAACUAAAUACAGGCACAGACUGUGUGUGGAAAAUUAUUUAAGACGGAGACUCUCUCCAAUACAACCCAACAUUGCAGUCCUUCCAAGCACACCCUUCUCAUUAACCUGUGGCAAGAGGCGAAGCUGGAGGUGAGAUCUUUGCCAGAUCCCCAAUGAUGGCCAUAGCAGCAUAGACCAGCUCUUGGCCCCUCAUUAAAGGAUCUCUUACGUUCUUCCAAAGAUCUCCUGCGGGGAUAGGCUGCUGUGGUGAUGCCAAUCUACCAUGGCCUGAUGAUGAUGUCUACCUGAGACUCCAAGCCAAACUCUACGGAGUCCAUCCCCUGGAUCUUUCACCUGCAGCCCUUGGCUUCAUCCCGUCCAUUCUCACAUCCAUUCCAUUUCCUCAAUAAAUAUUCU